rnacentral:rRNA from 1 species
UACGUAGGGUGCAAGCGUUGUCCGGAAUUAUUGGGCGUAAAGAGCUCGUAGGCGGUUUGUCGCGUCUGCUGUGAAAACUCGGGGCUUAACUCCGGGCCUGCAGUGGGUACGGGCAGACUAGAGUGCGGUAGGGGAGACUGGAAUUCCUGGUGUAGCGGUGAAAUGCGCAGAUAUCAGGAGGAACACCGGUGGCGAAGGCGGGUCUCUGGGCCGACACUGACACUGAGAGACGAAAGCUAGGGGAGCGAAUGGG